rnacentral:rRNA from 1 species
CAGUCGCCGCGGUAACACGUAGGGUGCGAGCGUUAAUCGGAGUUACUGGGCGUAAAGCGUGCGCAGGCGGUUAUAUAAGACAGAUGUGAAAUCCCCGGGCUCAACCUGGGACCUGCAUUUGUGACUGUAUAGCUAGAGUACGGUAGAGGGGGAUGGAAUUCCGCGUGUAGCAGUGAAAUGCGUAGAUAUGCGGAGGAACACCGAUGGCGAAGGCAAUCCCCUGGACCUGUACUGACGCUCAUGCACGAAAGCGUGGGGAGCAAACAGGAUUAGAUACCCCAGUAGUCCCUGUCUCUUAUAC